GUUUUUCUAAUUUUAAUUUUCUUCUCUACUACUUCUGCUUUGAUUUGCAUUUAGUUUGUUUACAGAUAAUAAGUUAUUCCCCAGCGAGUGUUUGGUUUUAUGGUCAGACUAUUCAAUGAUCUCUGUAAAUGAAUUUAUAGAGAUUUUGUCUCUGUUGGGUGAGAGAGUGUACAGAGUUGGCUAGUCUCUUCUGUUUAUUUGUCUAUUUAAAUCAAAUAACUGAAGAAUUCUUACCCACUGGGAAGAGACAAGCUCUUUGAUACAGACUGUUCUUUUUCUUCAACCUGAGAAGUUCACUAGGCUAUUCCUGAUUUUCCCUUCCCUGCUCCUCGGCUGAAGACUAAUUAAUGUGCUGGUAUACGGAUAUGUACCCUAACUUCUACUAAUGUGAUGUUCCUGCCUGAGAUUUAAGCGCUGCACAUUAAAAGGAAGAAAACAGACUGGAUCCAUGUUGGUGAAGGUGGAACUAAGGUUGUGAGCGACAAGAAAAAGGGAAGAAAGAAGGAGAGAAGAGCUGCUGCCUUUUGGAUAUCCCAGGCCUAGGAGCUCCCCAAGCCAGGGCUGUGACACCCUCUUUGGGGCUCUGCAGUUCCUGGCAUCUCCAAGCUUCCAUGCAUUACUUCAUUCUGCAUUCCCUGGUGCCAGCCAUGGAAGCUGCUUGUACAUCUGGUCCAGCUGCAGCCAUACAGGGAGCCAGAGCCCUGCCUGCACCUGAAGCUGCCCACUCUGCCACAGCCAGCAUGCCUGGCUCUGUGUGGUGGCUGGACCCCAUGCUUGCUUGCUCGCACACCCCUUGCCACUCCACUCUCUCUUGGAAGGCAUGGCAUCCAGGUCAGUAGCAUGAGCUGAGCACAACCUGCCAGGCUGAGUGGGGGCAGUGGGCCGGAGCAAAAAUCAGGCAAAGGCACCACUGGCCACAGAGGUUUCCAGGUGGUGAAACGACACCCCAAGGAUCCCGUAACAACGUGACAGUAGUAGAAGGAACUUCACAGUAUUUAACGGGUUUCGUAUACACUCUUUCUUACCACAAGUAAAUCGAUUUGAUAACACGAGUAAAUCAAUUUCUCUGUAAUAGUCAGGAUUAAUUACCCUAACAAACAAAGUUGUCCCUGUUUGAAGGCACACAUAGCUAAGUGGCAAUCCAAACUUCCAGUUAAAAGAAGUUAUUAUAUUUUCUUUUAUAGAAGUCUUCCUUUUUGGGUAUAAAAAUCUCUAAACUAGAGGAUCCUAAAGUCAAAAUAGUAGGAAAAACAUAUUUUAUCAAUGGUUUAUUAUAUGUAAUACUGAAAGGUGCAAAUCACAUUUCCACUUUAUGUUUCUCUAUCAUUGUGCUUUGGUACAAUAACAAUGGUUGUUGGAAAAAAAGCAUCAUAUAUUGAAAAGCAUCUAAUUGGCUUUGUAACUGACUUUUCAAAAGGGCAUUCCGCUGUAUAUUGGUCCAACUAUUUCUAGUUGAUGGUAAAGCCAGCAAAUUGCAUCAGUAUAUGCUAACCGAUGUACUUCUUUUGCAUGAAAUGUGUUUCUUGAUAAGAAGCAAUGUAGUCUGGGAUGUUAUGAUGGGUAAAUAAGUAGGUAAGGUAGUCCAUAAAUAGUAUUUCUUUUCUUUCUUGUUUUUUUUUUUUUUGGAGACAGAGUCUCACUCCAUCACCCAGGCUGGAGUGCAGUGGUGUGAUCUUGGCUCACUGCAAACUUUGCCUGCUGGGUUCAAGUGAUCCUCCUUCCUCAUCCUCCCAAGUAGCUGGGAUUAUAGGCACAUGCCACCACACCUGGCUAAGUUUUGUAUUUUUAGUAGAUAUGGGGUUUCACCAUGUUGGCCAGGCUGGUUUCAAACUCCUGAUCUCAGGUGAUCCACCCACCUUGACCUCCCAAAGUGCUGGGAUUACAGGCAGGAGCCACCAUGCCCAGCCCUAUAAAUAGUAUAUCUAGCAGAUGGAAAUUCAGUGCAAAUCCAUAUUUAAUAUAAAUGCAAUCCAAGCAAGGACAAAUCACCAUCCAAUCCAUAAUGGAUGGUUUCUAAUAUAAUUGUCCUGGCAGCAGAUGGUUAGCUGGUCCCCAUGGAUAUGGGCUAGUAGUGGUGUCUAGAUUGAUCUUGUUGGAGAUCGAUCAUCUAUGUUUUUGAACCCAUAAAUAAUGUAUCUCCUUAUUACUUUGGCCGUUUUUUUUUUUUAUUUCAAGAGCCCAAUGAACCAGCACAGGGAUGGCUGAGAACAAAAGACUGAAAGAGUGAUCUUGUCUAGCUGACUAUUGAGAAAUCAGUGAACAUUUUUACAGUACAGAAAUAUUUUCAAAUUAUUGACCUCUUCCCAACGUUUCAAAUCUCUCACCCAUGUCUCUUUAACAUUAGUCAUAUAAUCUUAUUCCUUCUAACUCUUUGAACAUCUGACCAUGUUCCACCAGCCUGUUAGCCGAAGCUUGUGGACUGUUAUAAAUCCAUCAUGUGGUCCAUAACACCUUCCAUGCACAGAGGAAAUUUUGCCUAUUUGAUGGAUUUCCUUUAUCACUAUCUUUCAGGGCCACAUCUGAGUGUGACUAUCAUGAUAUAACUUUCUCUUCCAGCUCUGCCAGAUUUUUGUGUUGAACAAUUUAUAAACUAGACUUGAAUGUCUUCUUUUUCUUUAAUCAACUGAUUGUGGGUAUGACUUGACAGAGAGUUGACAGGCAGCACAGCAAAAGAGCAGAUGCACUGCAAGAAUGAUUACCUACUCACGCAGUUUACUUGUACAUGUGCUUGAGUUCAGUUUUGUGUAUACCACUUUCACCUAGUGAUGUGGUACUAUUAAGCAAACUCAAAUUUAUGGCUUAUGGUUAUUUGAACCAUUAAGCAAGCAAGCCAGGAUAUUUGGUUGCUGUACUGCCAGCUCUUUCAAGCCAUGCCCAGGUCCUCACAGAGAGUUCCCCCAUGACCAGUUAAUUGAAGAAGGAGAAAUUCAAGUAUAGUUUAUAAAUUAUUUUUACAGAAUAUGCUGGCGGUGCUGGAAGAGGCAGUUACAUCAUCAUAGUCACACUCAGAUAUGGGCCUAUGUAUAUAUAGGGUUUUAUAUUACUCCAUUAAAUUUUACUGAUAGACUUGACAGUAAUAGGAGGAAUUUCAUAGUAUUUUAUGGGUUUCAUACAUACUCUUUCUCACCUGCAUUGAUACUACCAGCAAAUCAAUUUUUCUGUAAUAGUUAAGAUUAAUUACCCUGACAAACAGAGUUGCCAUCUGGGGGAGUCUGCAGGUCACAACUAUUUUCACAGUAGCAUUAAGACAUUCGCUAUGACCUCAGCAUUCAAAAGUUGAAAAGCCUAACUCCCAAUGUGAUGGCAUUAGGAGGUUGGGCUUUUGGGAGGUAAUUAGGACAUGAUGGUAGAGCCCUUAUAAAUGGGAUUAGUACCAUUAUAAAAAGACAUGAAAUGAGAACAUUAUUUCUUUCUUUUUCUUCUCACUUCUAUGUGAGGAUAUAAUAAAAUGGUCAUCUGAAAACCAGGAAACUGACCCUCCCCAGACACUAGGGUAGCUGGCACUUUGGAUUUAGGCUUCUCAGCCUCUAGAACUGAGAGAAAUAAAUUUCUGUUUUUGAGCCACUCAGUCAAUAGUAUUCCAUUAUAGCAGCCUAAACAGAUUAAUACAAUGUUUUCUGUCUUUUCACUAUGCUAAAAUUUUUACUGAUGGUGCAAAAGAGUGAUGGAUAAAAAUUCUAUAUUUAACAUGAAUCAGACACUGGUACCAAACAAUAGGUACUAGCAGUUUGUUAGUCCAUUUUACAUUGCUAUAAUGGAAUAUCUGAGGAUGGAUAAUUUAUAAAGAAAAUAUGUUUAUUUGGCUCAUGGUUCUGCAGGUUGUACAAGGAACAUGACACCAGCAUCUGCUUGACUUCUGGUGAGGCUUCAGGAAGCUUUUAGUCAUGGUGGAUGGUGAAGGGUAAGCAGGCAUGUCACAUGGCAAGAGAAGGAGCAAGAAAGAUGCCAUGUUCUCUUAAACAACCAGUUCUUAUGUGAACUUAUAAGAGCAAGAAUUCACUCAUUACCAUGGGGAAGGCAUUAAGCCAGUCUUGAGGGAUCUGCCACCUUGACCCAAACACCUCCCACUAGGGCCACACCUCCAGCAUUAGGCAUUACAUUUCCACAUUAGAUUUGGAGGGAACAAAUAUCCAAACUACAUCAAGCAGUCAUCAUAUCUUUCAUUACCAUAAAUUUAUUUUUUUAAAAGCCAAUGUAACUUAAUAGACCCUUUGAAAAAGUAGUAAAGUUAUUUAUUUUAUUGUCUUAAUGCUUUGGUACAUGAUAUUUUAAUACUUUGUAUGACAAAAUGGAAAGUAUGUAUAAUGCAUUUCUAAAUACCAAAAUCUAAUUGUCUCAAAAAAACUUGUGCUAUUGUUGGAGUGAGAACCUAAACUGGUUGCUUUUUUCACGAAAUGUCAUUUUUAUUUGAAUAAAUGAGUGAUACCAUUUCACUGUUUUUCAAACUAAACUGUUUGGCAGAUAUUUUCUCAAAAAUGAAUAAAAUAAACUUAUUACUUCAAGGAAAACAACUGACAGUAUUUAUAAGCCAUGAUAAAAUUCAAGCUUUCAAGUGUAAAUUAGAAAUUUGAAAAUUGUUAUCUGCUUGCCAGCUCCCCAAUAUUGAAAGAGUAUUCUAAUAAGGAUGGUGUUGAUAUUAAGAAAUGUAAUUGAGAGAUUAUAUAAAUGAAAUGUACCAAAAUUUGGAAGACUUGUUAAGUCAGUAAGCCAAUGGUUUCCAAAUAAACUUUGUAUAAUUUUUCAAAACCAGGCAUGGGUAAAAGAUGCAUUUAACAUGCAAAUUAGAUGAAUGGGUUUUCAUGUAACAGAGAGCAAAACGCUCACUGAUAUGGUUUAAAAUACCAUGUUAUAAGCAACUCUUAAAGCUCAACUACUUGUUGAGUUUUGGUGUAGUAUCAUAGAAAAACCAGAAUAACCUGAAAAGGCUAUGAAAUUUCUCCUCCCUUUUCUAACUACAUAGCUGUGUUUGAAACUAGACUGUCUUUGUACAUUUCCAUUGAAACAAUCUAUUGCAACAGAUUUAAUGGAGAGG
rnacentral:lncRNA from 10 species